CAAUCACAAUUAAGAGAAUUUCUUUUUCGCCCUCUACCGGUAACGUUAUCGAACUAAAGUAAUUAACACUUUUCGUUUUUGUAAACAUUUGAUUUUCUGUUUCUUUUUUGAUAAUUAAUUGAUUCUAAUUAAUUUGGAUCCUUCCUUUUUUUUUAUAAAUAUAUAUAUUUGUGUAUAUUCAACUGUUUUACUGUUUCAAUUGUCUAAUUGUUUUGAUCAACAAAGAACAAGAUUAAACCCAAAUAACAACAUCAACAACCAGAAUUGAGAUUCUGAUUGUUGUUCCUCUUGUAAUAUCUACAUGGUUAAUGAUUUAUAGCUUUAGGCUAUUAUCAUUAAUAUCCUUCUAGGUACAUGGGACAAAAGGAACCAAGUUUAAAACAAUAACACCAAAAUCCAAGGCCCAAUUGAUACAAAUUCACCAACACACCAAGACUGAAGGGAACACAAGCCAGAAAAGAAAAGAAUAUCAUCUUUUCAUCAUCAUCAUCAUCAUCAUAAUUCUAAUACCCUCAUUCCUUUUUAAUCAAAUCCCUAUUUCAAUUGUGUUCUAUUCCAUUUCUUAUCCAUAGAUUAUAUUCUGUUCCUUUAUCAUUAUUAUAUCAUUUUCCUACUUUUCCAAUAUUUCCAACAACAUUUCCACCUCCACUCUCUCAUAAUAACACUUCCUAUGGAUUAAAUGGUUAUUACAAUGGAUGAUUAUGAUUAUGAUGAUGAUGAUGAUGAAUGGCAAAUGAUGAGUUCAACAUCUGCCUCCCAACAUCAACACCAACACUGAACCUCUAAUCCAAAGGGUUUGUUUUUAACUCCAUAGAUUUGAGUUGUAUUAAUAUCCUUUCAUUAUUGUUAAUAAUUGAUUUAGUGUUUACAUUAUCGUAAAUAAUACCAACCAUGAGGAGUAAUAACACUUCACCCAAUA